rnacentral:rRNA from 1 species
UACGGAGGGGGCUAGCGUUGUUCGGAAUUACUGGGCGUAAAGCGCACGUAGGCGGCUUUGUAAGUUAGAGGUGAAAGCCUGGAGCUCAACUCCAGAAUUGCCUUUAAGACUGCAUCGCUUGAAUCCGAGAGAGGUGAGUGGAAUUCCGAGUGUAGAGGUGAAAUUCGUAGAUAUUCGGAAGAACACCAGUGGCGAAGGCGGCUCACUGGCUCGGUAUUGACGCUGAGGUGCGAAAGCGUGGGGAGCAAACAGG